GAUGAGCGCUGGCGGCGUGCUUAACACAUGCAAGUCGAACGAAGCACUUUAACCUGUUUCUUCGGAUGAAGGUUUUUGUGACUGAGUGGCGGACGGGUGAGUAACGCGUGGGUAACCUGCCUCAUACAGGGGGAUAACAGUUAGAAAUGACUGCUAAUACCGCAUAAGACCACAGAGCCGCAUGGCUCGGUGGGAAAAACUCCGGUGGUAUGAGAUGGACCCGCGUCUGAUUAGGUAGUUGGUGGGGUAACGGCCUACCAAGCCAACGAUCAGUAGCCGACCUGAGAGGGUGACCGGCCACAUUGGGACUGAGACACGGCCCAAACUCCUACGGGAGGCAGCAGUGGGGAAUAUUGCACAAUGGGGGAAACCCUGAUGCAGCGACGCCGCGUGAGCGAAGAAGUAUUUCGGUAUGUAAAGCUCUAUCAGCAGGGAAGAAAAUGACGGUACCUGACGAAGAAGCACCGGCUAAAUACGUG
rnacentral:rRNA from 1 species